rnacentral:rRNA from 1 species
CACCUGCUCAAGAUCGACGGCUACUCGCGCACCAAGGAGGUCCCGAAUGGCAAGUGGAUCAACUCUUGCCCGUUCCAGGUGGGAGGCCGCACAUGGCAUGUGGAGUACUAUCCCAACGGGGACAAGUCCGAGUACACCGAUUACAUAUCCCUCUUUCUCAGCUUGGACGACACUGUCGCCGAGGCCGUGAAGGCACAUGCCAAGUUCAGCUUAAUCGACCAAGAUGGGAAGCCCGUGUCGCUCCAUACCGCUACUACCGAGACCAGAGACUUUUCUGUGCUUAAAUCUUGGGGGUUCGACUUCAUGAAAAGGCAAGAAUUGGAGAAAUCAGAGCAUCUCAAGAGCGAUUCCUUCACUGUCAAGGUGGACGUCACUAUCAUGUCCGAGUUCCACGCACGGAAGACACCAUCCGUCGCGGUGCCACCGUCUGACAUGCACCGGCACUUCGGGGAUCUCUUGUCGAGCAAGGAGGGCGUCGAUGUCGAAUUCCAAGUCGGCGGGGAGACAUUCUCGGCCCACCGAUUGGUGCUUGCGGCACGGUCUCCGGUCUUCAGGGCAGAGUUGUUUGGGCCGAUGAAGGAGAGCGCCACCACAAAUGUCAUAUGUAUAGAUGACAUUGAGGUAGAGGUGUUCAAGGCUCUGCUUGCAUUCAUCUACACGGAUGCAUUGCCUACUAUGGAUCAACAGGAGGAAUCUGCCAUGGCUCAGCAUCUGCUUGUUGCGGCAGACAGGUAUGAUUUGGAGAGGCUGAAGCUGAUUUGUGAAGAUAAGUUGUGCAAUCAUAUCGAUACAAACUCUGUGGCGACUAUCUUGGCAUUGGCGGAGCAACACCACUGCCCUGAGCUUAAGGCGGCAUGCUUGGUGUUCCUCAGCUCGCCCACGAAUCUGGAAGCGGCCAUGGAGUCUGAAGGUUUUGAGUAUUUAACCAAGAACUGCCCCGGUGUAAUGAAGGAUCUCCUCAUGUGCCAGGUCGCUCCUACUUCACUCGGGAAAAGAAAAUCUAGG